rnacentral:lncRNA from 1 species
ACACCAGCUAGGAGAUGAUCAACUAUUUUUGUAGAGGUAGGACUUCAGAUUUGCAAGACUUUCCAUGUUGGUAUUUACAGGGAAAGUGUGAGAAUUAUUUAUGUCGGUAAUUAAUUUCAAUUUGUAAAUCGUGAGUUUCCAAAAUGUUGCUAGAAAGCCAACGUUACAUUUUUGAUGUGUUCAUCUUCAGAGCUGGGGAAGGCAGAGUUUUUGCCAGUUUGGCUUUUGCACUGAGAAAGCUCUCUCACACCUGAAGAAGACGCUCUGUAUUGCUUCAGCAUUUCAGUGGAUUAGCCAACAACGCACCAGGGACCAGGCAAAGAGCAAGAAAGUCACAGGAAGCAGCAUUGCUGAUAAACUGGUGGGGUUCAGCAAGUGUAUUGAUUUCAGACAUACAGAUUACUGGAGAAGAAACGACUCAAAGGCUAGGUAUCCAGAAAAUCAGGAGCUGGCCAAUGGGGCACAGAUCAAUGGUUCUCCCCCAAGAUUCCUGUCUCCCAGGCCAAAAAGUGACAGCGCUGGAGCUCCAUGAAUCCAUGAGCAUCUGAGUCUAAACACAUCUUUGGAUAAAUUCAUUUGCUGGUGCCUCUCUGCCUGGCACACAUCACUGAAACACACUGAGCCAAAUGCAUCCCUGGUGUCACUGCAAAGCGGUCACUGGCGAAACACCAGGGUUGAACUUGACCUGCUAUGUUUUGUAAACACAAUGUGUGUGUAAACAGUGCCCUCUGCCUUUUAGAGGAAGCAGCUUUGUUUUUUUUAUUUCACUUUCAAGGUGCAUCAUUGUAAAUGGCUCUUGUUGAAAUAUUUUGGUUUUCAGAACAAAAUGUUCCACUGUUGUUGGUUUUGGGGGUGUUUUGCCCCCUCCCCCCAAAAAGUCAAAAUUUUCCAUGGAGGGUGGGGAAAGAAGAGAAUUUCAGACCAGUUCUAGUAACAACCUAGCUUGUUCUCAGAUUAUUUCCCAGCACAUAGUACACGGACACCCUGGCUACAGUUUUGAAAGAGCCUCAGCUGAUUUUUAGCUCCCACACCAAAUCAGAUAACACAAUGGUCAGUUUCAGCUUAGCUUUGAGGGGGGCUCAGUUUUGAAACCCUAAAUGCAAAUGAAGUGUGUCAGCCCGUGAAACCAAGGUAAACGUCUAUAACUCCCUGCAAACUGGUGCUGCUGAGCUCCAAUCAAACGCCCCUCGUUAUUUUUAUUGUACAGCGGUGGCCAGCUUCAUACGUGGCAACUUAUGGCCAAAGCUUCCUAGCCCGUAACCUACAGUAAUAAUCAAAAGCUGUUGCUUAGCCGGGACAAGAUCUGUUAGGGCUCUACA